rnacentral:rRNA from 1 species
UACGUAGGGACCAAGCGUUGUUCGGAUUUACUGGGCGUAAAGGGCGCGUAGGCGGCAAUUCAAGUCAGCUGUGAAAUCUCCGGGCUUAACUCGGAACGGUCAGCUGAUACUGCUUUGCUAGAGUGCAGAAGGGGCAAUCGGAAUUCUUGGUGUAGCGGUGAAAUGCGUGGAUAUCAAGAGGAACACCUGAGGUGAAGACGGGUUGCUGGGCUGACACUGACGCUGAGGCGCGAAAGCGUGGGGAGCAAACAGG